AUGGCCGCGGCCCUCCGCCCCCUGCUCCGCCGGCACGCAGUUCUGCCGCCAUCUUCGAUGCUGCGCUCUCUAUUCCCCGCGCCGUACUCCAAGGCCGCCGCCGCCGCCAGACCCCCAGCCGUGUGCCACGCGCCCCUGCCGCCUCCCCUUCUGAGGGAGGUUACUCCAAGGAGGGCUCCUCCAAUUCCAAAGGGUGAACCACGCCGCUGCACUGCUGUUCAAAGUACCAUGAGUGACAGUACAAAGUCGUUGCUGGAUAAACUGAAGGAUCUCAAGGACAGUAAGAAGCCACUGGAAGACAUGGAAAAGAAUAUUAAGGAGCGUAGGGAAAUUAUAAAGAAAGCGCUGCAUGACUCUAGGGUUGCUAAUGCUAUGUUUAGGGUAAGACUGGAUGGCCUUAGGAAACUUCUUGCCAAAAUACGUGAUGGCCGAGAGGAUUCUGCCAGAAUCAAUGCAAUAUACCGCAGAUUGGAGGAUGACUAUGACAAAGAUUGGGCCAUUCAUGAGUCUAAGGGUCGCUUGAUUGACGAACAGAUGAAAAUGUUAAGGAAGGAGGGAGAUGACUAUAUCAAUGCUUUGAGGGAGUAUCAUGAAUUGCAAAUAUCCAUCCUGAAGCAUGCGGAGGAGGUGGAGGAGGCGGAGAAGGUGGAGGAGGUAGAGAGCAUGGAGAAGGUGGAGGAGGUAGAGAACAUGCAGAAGGUGAAGAAGGUUGCAAAGGUGUGUGCCGCUGCUGGCCUCAUGGGAGGGCUUCUGGUGAUACUGGGAAAGAUGUAG
rnacentral:rRNA from 1 species